GCGUUGAUGGGUUAGUGGUAUACUACAUCGUUGCCAAGGCUGUUUCGAUGUGACCCGGGUUCGAUUCCCGGUCGACGCA